ACGUAAUGGGCUAAUAGUUUAUAAAUAGUUUUAGAGUGGAGCUGUUGGCGCAUGCGCUGUGGCGACGUCGCGUUCAGUGAGAGCAACAUUACCUGGUGGCUGUAUAUAAAUAUGAAUAUUGAACCGCGGUAUCGGAGAAAUCGUACAACUUUUGCAUCUGGUGUUUGUUCAACACAGUGGAGCCAGUGAGUCUUGGUGUGGGACAGGGGAGGCUAGCUGCCUUCAUUCGGUGGUGUGCUUCACCGUGUGUGCAGACACAACAACUUCCUUAUGGUAGCUUACUGGGCAAUGCCACAUGGACACACAGAGUACAUAUAAAGUGGAGUGAAGUGGUGAAGGCUCUGGGUUAUGAAUCGGAAAGGUCGGAGGUUCAAGCCUCGGCGCUACCAAACCACCACUGUUGGGCCUCUGAGCGACGCCCUUAACCCUCUCUGCAGAGGUGCCUUACCCCUCUCCAAAUCGGCCGGACCCUGUGCUCUGACCCUGGGAAUCUGUUUGUUUGUGUGUAAGGUUAACGGUUGUGACUGAUCUAUGGCGUCUUACGUUGUUCACCUCAAAUAUCAACUCUUCCGGAAACUGUCUGCCUACACGAAGACUGUAACAGAAGCUUUUCGAGAGGCUUUCAUAUACCACUCCGUGCUGGGAGUCAUAUAACUUAUUUAAGGCAGGUCAGGAGCAGCUGAGCGCAGAAUUAUUUCACAUUGUUCUCAGUCUAUAUGGGGCUGUUUUUGCUCAUGCUGGUCAUUUUAAUACAUCUCGUGUGGCCAUUGUUUGACUUCCUGCAGUUCUCCACUGAAUGCCCUCAUUUGGGAUGACACUGUAAAUAUCCUCGAGCCACGAGCUCCAUCUGCAACCAAGCACACAUAGCUGUGUCAAGGACAGCAACAGCAAAGAAGAUAAUGGUGUAGCUCAUAAACAGAUCAUCAACUUGUGAGAUUUUGGGUGGAGGGAUGGACAGAUGGACGUGUGGAUGGACAACAGCUUUACUAUUGGACUGUUACACCGCUCUGGCACUGGAGACUCCUUCCAAAAAUGCUCAAUAAAUGGAAAUGUCACAGAAAGCUUCACCAUAUCAACAAUUACACACAUUUAUGUGGAACGUCUGCAAUACCAGUCCCUGUAUAUGUUUUUACUGUUCAGUAUUAUAUAACAUAUUUGAAUGAGAGCAUUAAUUACGAUGUAUAAAUAAACUACACAGAUGGGUCA